rnacentral:misc_RNA from 1 species
GAUGAAGAACGUAGCGAAAUGCGAUACGUAAUGUGAAUUGCAGAAUUCAGUGAAUCAUCGAAUCUUUGAACGCAUAUUGCGCUCUCUGGUAUUCCGGAGAGCAUGCUUGUUUGAGUAUCAGUAAACACCUCAACUCCCUUUUCUUUUUUGAAAUGGGAGCUGGACUUGAGUGAUCCCAACACUUUUCUCACUGGAAAGUGGCGGGUCACUUGAAAUGCAGGUGCAGCUGGACUUUUCUCUGAGCUAUAAGCAUAUCUAUUUAGUCUGCCUAAAAAACAGAUUAUUACCUUUGCUGCAGCUAACAUAAAGGAGAUGAGUUCUUGUGCUGACUGAUGCAGGAUUCACAGAGACAGCUUUGCGGCUGACUUUGUAAACUCGAUCUCAAAUCAAGUAAGACUACCCGCUGAACUUAAGCAUAUCAAUAAGCGGGGA